rfam:Aliifodinibius roseus strain DSM 21986 genome assembly, contig: Ga0134108_153
GCAGAAGGGUUUAGCGAGCAGGCCCCACCCGUUCCCAUCCCGAACACGGCCGUGACCCUGCUCAGCGCCGAUGGUACUGCCCUCAGGGCGGAAGCGUAGGUCCCCUCCUGCU